rnacentral:rRNA from 1 species
UAGGGUUCGAUUCCGGAGAGGGAGCCUGAGAAACGGCUACCACUUCCAAGGAAGGCAGCAGGCGCGCAAAUUACCCAAUCCGGAUUCCGGGAGGUAGUGACAAGAAAUAACAAUAGUUCGGCUUUUGUCAAACUAAUUGGAAUGAGUACAAUUUAAACCUCUUAACGAGAAACAAUUGGAGGGCAAGUCUGGUGCCAGCAGCCGCGGUAAUUCCAGCUCCAAUAGCGUAUACUAAAGUUGUUGCAGUUAAAAAGCUCGUAGUUGGAUUUCUGUGUGAGAGGGACGGGAAGGCGCAAGCGUUUUUUCUGACNUUUUGCACAUCCUGUCGCAAACCACGGUNCUCUUUANUGUAGUGUCGUUGGGGAUCGACUCGUUUACUUUGAGAAAAAUAGAGUGUUCAAAGCAGGGUAUGCCUCUGAAUAAGUUAGCAUGGAAUAAUGAUAAAGGACUUCGGUUCAUUUUGUUGGUGUUUGGGACUGAAGUAAUGAUUGAUAGGGACAGUUGGGGGCAUCAGUAUUCAAAAGCGAGAGGUGAAAUUCUUAGACCUUUUGAAGACUAACCGCUGCGAAAGCGUUUGCCAAGGAUGUUCCCUUUGAUCAAGAACUAAAGUUUGGGGAUCGAAGACGAUCAGAUACCGUCGUAGUCUGAAACUAUAAACUAUAUCAGCUAGGGAUCAGCCGGCGUAAUAUUUAAGGACUCGGUUGGCACCUUAUGAGAAAUUAAAGCAUUUGGGUUCCGGGGGGAGUAUGGUCGCAAGGCUGAAACUUAAAGGAAUUGACGGAAGGGCACCACCAGGUGUGGAGCGUGUGGCUUAAUUUGACUCAACACGGGAAAACUUACCAGGUCCAGACAUAGUAAGGAUUGACAGAUUGAGAGCUCUUUCUUGAUUCUAUGGGUGGUGGUGCAUGGCCGUUCUUAGUUGGUGGAGUGAUUUGUCUGGUUAAUUCCGUUAACGAACGAGACCCCAGCCUGCUAAAUAGCUGAAAUAAGGUUUUCCUUGUUAUGAGCUUCUUAGAGGGACCAUAGACUCGUCUACAGACUAGGGAAGUUUGGGGCAAUAACAGGUCUGUGAUGCCCUUAGAUGUUCUGGGCCGCACACGGGCUACACUGACGCCUGCAACGAGCAUAUCAGCUGGUCCGAAAGGAUCUUGGCUAAUCUUUUGAACUUGCGUCGUGCUAGGGAUUGACUAUUGCAAUUGUUAGUCAUGCAACGAGGAAUACCUUGUAAACGCGAGUCAUCAACUCGCAUUGAAUACGUCCCUGCCCUUUGUACACACCGCCCGUCGCUUCUACCGAUUGAAUAUUCCCAUGAAAUCUUCAGAGGAGUCCGGUGAGUUGGGCUUGCCCAAGGAACCGGCUUCCAAAGUCGUUUAAAUCGGAACAUUUAGAGGAAGGAGAAGUCGUAACAAGGUUUCCGUAGGUGAACCUGCGGAAGGAUCAAUGACACAAGCGCGCAAGCGCCCACAACUUUACCCCGUGUAUGGUAUCCCCGCGCUCGGUUUCAAAUUUAUUUUGGAGUCGGCCGGGGCUCGAAGACCCUCCCAAUUUUUUUACCCCUCACGCAAUUUUAAAACCGCGAGUUGACUGAAGGAAGCGGUUCUGUUUUUACAGGGCCCUACCACUAAACAACUUUAUAUUUUUUUCGAACCCCGAGGAAAAUAUCUUUCAACGAUGGAUCUCUUGGUUCCCGCAACGAUGAAGAACGCCGCGAAACGCGAUAUGUAAUGUGAAUUGCAGGAUUCAGCGAAUCAUCAAAUCUUUGAACGCAAAUUGCGCUCGGCCCUCGUGGCUGAGUAUACCUGGUUCAGCUUCGUUUUGCACUGGCAACCCGCCAUGAAAAUGGAUUGGGAGAUUUGGAGGAGUGUUGGGCGUUGUGCCGCUCCCGCGGUCCAUCGCUUUAAAUUUUUUAAGGGUUGUCGCGUUGUUCGGUCUUUGACUGUCCGAUGCGCCAAGGUAAUUUUUACUUCGGUGCGCCUAAGUUGGACUUUCGAGUUGGAUUCGCUUGAUGACUUUUUAAAUUUUAACUUUUUAGCUUGAACUGAACUCAGGGAAGAAGACCCGCCGAAUUUAAACAUAUUACUAAGCGGAGGAAAAGAAACUAACCAGGAUUCCCCUAGUAACGGCGAGUGAAGUGGGACCAGCUCAAUAUGUAAAGCUGCCGCCUAUGGCGGUCGCAUUGUAACCUUGCAGUGGAUCAAUUCGGGGAAGGCGGGAAUAAUUCGUCGUUGAGAUA